AGUGAACGCUGGCGGUAGGCCUAACACAUGCAAGUCGAACGGCAGCACAGUAAGAGCUUGCUCUUACGGGUGGCGAGUGGCGGACGGGUGAGGAAUACAUCUGAAUCUACUUUUUCGUGGGGGAUAACGUAGGGUAACUUACGCUAAUACCGCAUACGACCUACGGGUGAAAGCAGGGGAUCUUCGGACCUUGCGCGAUUGAAUGAGCCGAUGUCGGAUUAGCUAGUUGGCGGGGUAAAGGCCCACCAAGGCGACGAUCCGUAGCUGGUCUGAGAGGAUGAUCAGCCACACUGGAACUGAGACACGGUCCAGACUCCUACGGGAGGCAGCAGUGGGGAAUAUUGGACAAUGGGCGCAAGCCUGAUCCAGCCAUACCGCGUGGGUGAAGAAGGCCUUCGGGUUGUAAAGCCCUUUUGUUGGGAAAGAAAAGCAGCAGGUUAAUACCCCGCUGUUCUGACGGUACCCAAAGAAUAAGCACCGGCUAACUUCGUG
rnacentral:rRNA from 1 species